AACACGGAUCAAUCGUCCUGUCCCCUUAGCAGAAAAAACAGCCCCAAAGCAUGAUGUUUCCACCACCAUGCUUCACAGUAGGUAUGGUGUUCUUGGGAUGCAACUCAGUAUUCUUCUUCCUCCAAACGCGACGAGUUGAGUGUAGCUCCUUUCGAUACACGGCAACACCGGGAAGUUCCUUUUUGCAAAACAGGCGUUUAUUGACUCCUUCUUGCUGUAUACGCCUCCACGCCAACGCCGUGAAAACUUACAAAUGCAGUACAAUACGGUACAUCGGUCUUUGAAUUUACAUCAAUAAACACUUGGAAAUGAAUUAAAUGACAACAAAUACAAUACCUCGUUGGCUGCUUGUAACGAAAAGAGGUUCUAAUAAUCACUUGCUUGAAGUUUUACACAAAUUCUAGAAUGCACUCGAAUCUUUUGAGGGGCUGAAGAUAACGUGCUCAAGCACCCUCCCCUCUCGCAUGUUCUGUCUUGUUUACGUCCGUGUGGUCGCAACAUCACGACAAUCCUUCCGCUUUGCAACACAAUUAACACAAUACAUUUACAUUUUGCUCAGGAUACUUUACAAUCACACAUUUUCUAAUAAUAUUUCAUAACUCUGCAUCAUUAACUUAUUUAUUAAUGUUUAUUUAUUUAUGAAAGAUAUUUAAAGUAUGAAAACUCUCAGAAACAGCUAAAUGGAUACAUGGAUGAUACAGCAGAGGAUUGGGAGAAUGUCAUGUGGUCAUCAAUCAAUCAAUCAAUGUUUAUUUAUAUAGCCCCAAAUCACAAAUGUCUCAAAGGACUGCACAAAUCAUUACGACUACAACAUCCUCGGAAGAACCCACAAAAGGGCAAGGAAAACUCACACCCAGUGGGCAGGGAGAAUUCACAUCCAGUGGGACGCCAGUGACAAUGCUGACUAUGAGAAACCUUGGAGAGGACCUCAGAUGUGGGCAACCCCCCCCCUCUAGGGGACCGAAAGCAAUGGAUGUCGAGCGGGUCUAACAUGAUACUGUGAAAGUUCAAUCCAUAGUGGCUCCAAGACAGCAGUGAGAGUCCCGUCCACAGGAAACCAUCUCAAGCGGAUCAGCAGCGUAGAGAUGUCCCCAACCGAUACAGGCGAGCGGUCCAUCCUGGGUCCCGACGAGCGGUCCAUCCUGGGUCUCGACUCUGGACAGUCAGUACUUCAUCCAUGGUCAUCGGACCGGACCCCCUCCACAAGGGAGGGGGGGACAUAGGAGAAAGAAAAGAAGCGGCAGAUCAACUGGUCUAAAAAGGAGGUCUAUUUAAAGGCUAGAGUAUACAGAUGAGUUUUAAGGUGAGACUUAAAUGCUUCUACUGAGGUAGCAUCUCGAACUGUUACCGGGAGGGCAUUCCAGAGUACUGGAGCCAGAACGGAAAACGCUCUAUAGCCCGCAGACUUUUUUUGGGCUCUAGGAAUCACUAAUAAGCCGGAGUCUUUUGAACGCAGAUUUCUUGCCGGGACAUACGGUACAAUACAAUCGGCAAGAUAGGCUGGAGCUAGAUGAAACCAAAAUAGAAUUUUUUUGGUAUAAACUCAACUCGUCGUGUUUGGAGGAAGAAGAAUACUGAGUUGCAUCCCAAGAACACCACACCUACUGUGACGCAUGGGGGUGGAAACAUCAUGCUUUGGGGCUGUUUUUGAUCCGUGUUAAGGAAAGAACGAAUGGGGCCAUGUAUCGUGAGAUUUUGAGCCAAAACCUCCUUCCAUCAGUGAGAGCUUUGAAUGGUUGACCAAAUACUUAUUUUCCACCAUAAUUUACAAAUAAAUUCUUUAAAAUUCCUACAAUGUGAAUUCCUGGAUUUUUUUUUUCCACAUUCUGUCUCUCACAGUUGAAGUGUACCUUUGAUGAACAUUACAGACCUCUGUCAUCAUUUUAAGUGGGAGAACUUGCACAAUCGGUGACUGACUAAGUACUUUUUUGCCCCACUGCAUGUAGAAAAAUUAUAGAUUUAGGCCUCCACUCAGUUAUGAUCCCAGAGACCCCAAAGAGUUUUGGUCAAAAUAUAUUUUUUAAAAUGUGUCAUUUUAAAAUGUGGCAGAGGGGUUAGUGCGUCUGCCUCACAAUACGAAGUUCCUGCAGUCCUGGGUUCAAAUCCAGGCUCGGGAUCUUUCUGUGUGGAGUUUGCAUGUUCUCCCCGUGAAUGCGUGGGUUCCCUCCGGGUACUCCGGCUUCCUCCCACUUCCAAAGACAUGCACCUGGGGAUAGGUUGAUUGGCAACACUAAAUGGUCCCUAGUGUGUGAAUGUUGUCUGUCUAUCUGUGUUGGCCCUGCGAUGAGGUGGCGACUUGUCCAGGGUGUACCCUGCCUUCCGCCCGAUUGUAGCUGAGAUAGGCGCCAGCGCCCCCCGCGACCCCGAAAGGGAAUAAGCGGUAGAAAAUGGAUGGAAAAUGUGUCAUUAUUCAGUAUUAUUAUUCAAGUUUUAAAUCUCUAAAUCAGGGGUCGGGAACCUUUUUGGCUGAGAGAGCCAUGGAAGCCAAAUAUUUUAAAAUGUAUUUCCGUAAGAGCCAUAUCAUGUUUUUUAAACACUGAAUACAAUUAAAAUGUGUGCAUUUUUAUGUAAAACCAACAUUAGGCUAUAACACAUAUGUUAUUCUUUUUAAUACGAUUUUUUAUUCUGAAGCUAAGUAAUAAUAUAUAAAAUACUUCUUUCCAUUCUUGACUUCUUGAACAGGUGCGGUAGAACAGUCUUUUUCAACCACUGUGCCGUGAGAUACAGUCUGGUGUGCUGUGGGAGAUGAUCUAAUUUCACCUAUAUGGGUUAAAAUUGUGUUUUGCAAACCAGUAAAUACAAUCUGAAAAUGAUGUGGUGUUGUUGAGUGGUCGGUGCUAGAGCUAAUUGCUUUGUAGAUGUCGGAAACAGCGGGAAGCAGGGUGCAGGUAAAAAAAAAAGGUGACUAAUGCUUAAAACAUGAACAACAGGUGAGUGCCCCUAAGAAAAGGCAUUAAAGCUUAGGGAAGGCAAAACUAAAACUGAACUGGCUACAAAGUAAACAAAAAAACCGAAUGCUGGACGACAGCAAAGACUUACUGUGGAGCAAAGACAAUGUACAUCAGAACAUGACAUGACAAUCGACAAUGUCCCCGCAAAGAAGGAUAAAAACGACUGAAAUAUUCUUGAUUGCUAAAAUAAAGUAAAUGCGGGAAGCAGCGCUCAAAGGAAGACAUGAAACUGCUACAGGAAAAUACUAAAAAAGAGAAAAAGCAACCAAAAUAGGAGCACAAGACGAGAACUAAAACACAACACACAGGAAAACAGCAAAAAACUCAAAAUAAGUCAGGGCGUGAUGUGACAGGUGGUGACAGUACAUCUACUUUGAGACAAGAGCUAUAUUGAUGCAUGCUUGGUUGUGCUUUAAAGUCGUAUCCAACAAUUGUGACAACGACUUUUUACUGUCAACUGAGUUUUGUUUUUAAUACAUUUCUGCUGGUGGUGUGCCUAUGGAUUUUUUCAACGCAAAAAUGUGCCUUGGCUCAUAAAAGGUUGAAAAACACUGCGGUAGAAAACGGAUGGGUAGAUAAAAAUGCAUGAGAAUUUUUUACAUUUUGAACGUUAUUUUUAACACUGAAUACCAGUGGAGUUAUUCAUUACUUAUUGUGUUAAGCAAUGUAAGAUAAGACUAAUCUGAGAGCCAGAUGCAGUCAUCAAAAGAGCCACAUCUGGAUCUAGACCCCUGCUCUAAAUCAACAUUAGGAAAAAAAAUGGAAAAAACACAAAAUAUGCAAUAUUUCCACCCAAUAACUUUUUUUAGGUGGAAUAUUUGAGAUCAUAUAAUAAUUGGAACCUUAAUUUUGGAUUUUGAUUCAUUAUUAUUUUUUGAGCAAUGACACUUAAAAACAAAUCACACUAAAAUAAUUGGAGAUCCAAAAGUGUCCUACUCAUUAGUGUUAAAACAUAUAUAUUGUACUUUUUUUUUACUGUUUACUUUUAGCACAAUAAUCUCGAGAUCAACUUCAGAUAUCCAUCCAUCCAUUCUCUACCGCUUAUUCCCUUUCGGGGUGGCGGGGGGCGCGGGCGCCUAUCUCAGCUACAAUCGGGCGGAAGGCGGGGUACACCCUGGACAAGUCGCCACCUCAUCGCAGGGCCAACACAGAUAGACAGACAACAUUCACACUCACAUUCACACACUAGGGACCAUUUUAGUGUUGCCAAUUAACCUAUAUCCCUCAAUUUUAAGUUUUAUUGGUUUUUUUUUUGUUUUGUUUUUUUAGGCCCUUCUUUAAAAAAAAAAAAAAGCUCAGUUUUUUAUAUGGCAAAACACAAAAUAUGCCACAUUUUCCCCCCAAAAUAUCUCAAAGUGGAAUAUAUAACGUGACGUAAUCGAAGCCUUGAAUAGGUCAAUAAUUCAAAAUGACAUUAAUUUUGAUUCAUUAUUAUUUUUUAUUUUUUGGGCUUCACGGUGGCAGAGGGGUUAGUGCGUCUGCCUCACAAUACGAGGUUCCUGCAGUCCUGGGUUCAAAUCCAGGCUCGGGAUCUUUCUGUGUGGAGUUUGCAUGUUCUCCCCGUGAAUGCGUGGGUUCCCUCCGGGUACUCCGGCUUCCUCCCACUUCCAAAGACAUGCACCUGGGGAUAGGUUGAUUGGCAACACUAAAUUGGCCCUAGUGUGUGAAUGUUGUCUGUCUAUCUGUGUUGGCCCUGCGAUGAGGUGGCGACUUGUCCAGGGUGUACCCCGCCUUCCGCCCGAUUGUAGCUGAGAUAGGCGCCAGCGCCCCCCGCGACCCCGAAAGGGAAUAAGCGGUAGAAAAUGGAUGGAUGGAUGGAUUAUUUUUUAAAGAAAGAAACAGCCUGCAUGGCAGAUUUGUGUUAUAAGAGUUGCAACAAUUUCUUGUUACAUUUCUCCUGUUUGCUCUUUUAUACCACUUUUUAUGUUUUUAAUUUUUUUCAAUUGUAUUCUUAAAAUGUGCCGUGGGGCGUUUAAAAAAUGACCCGCAGGCCGCACUUUGGACAGCCCUGUCCUAGACAUUCCAACUACCAUUUUUCCGCAUUCAACACAUUUCCAGGAAUUUCCCUUUUUUUGGUAACUAUUUCCACCAAUAAAUCAAUGUUUGAAGGGGAACAUUAUCAUCAAACCUAUGCAAGCGUCAAUAUAUACCUUGAUGGUGCAGAAAAAAGACCGUAUAUUUUUUUAACCGAUUUCCAAACUCAAAAUGGGUGAAUUUUGGCGAAUUAAAUGCCUUUCUGUUUAUCGCUCUUUUUGCGAUGUCAGAACGUGACGUCGCCGAGGUAACACACCCGCCAUUUUCAUUUUCACAUUACAAACACCGGGUCUCAGCUCUGUUAUUUUCCGUUUUUUUGACUAUUUUUUUGGAACCUUGGAGACAUCAUGCCUCGACGGUGUGUUGUCGGAGGGUGUAACAACACUAACAGGGAGGGAUUCAAGUUGCACCACUGGCAAGAAAUUUUUUGGAACCUUGGAGACAUCAUGCCUCGACGGUGUGUUGUCGGAGGGUGUAACAACACUAACAGGGAGGGAUUCAAGUUGCACCACUGGCAAGAAAUCUGCCGCCAGACCCCCAUUGAAUGUACCAGAGUGUUUCCACAUUUGACCGGCGAUGCUAAGACAGACAUGGCACAGAGAUGUAUGGAUAACCUGCAGAUGCAUUUGCGAUGAUAAAUUCAACGAAAUAACAAAGGUGAGUUUUGUUGAUGUUGACUUAUGUGCUAAUCAGACAUAUUUGGUUGCAGCGUGACUGCCAGCUAAUCGAUGCUACCAUGCUACGCUAAUCGACGCUAACAUGCUAUUUAUGGACGGUGCUAAAGCAGACAUGGCACGGAGAUGUAUGGAUAACCUGCAGAUGCAUUUGCAACGAUUAAGUCAACGAAAUCACAAAGGUGAGUUUUGUUGAUGUUGUUGACUUAUGUGCUAAUCAGACAUAUUUGGUUGCGGCGUGACUGCCAGCUAAUCGAUGCUACCAUGCUACGCUAAUCGACGCUAACAUGCUAUUUACGGACGGUGCUAAAGCAGACAUGGCACAGAGAUGUAUGGAUAACCUGCAGAUGCAUUUGCAACGAUAAAGUCAACGAAUUCCCCAAGGUGAGUUUUGUUGAUUUUGACUGCCAGCUAAUCGAUGCUAACAUGCUAUGCUAAUCGAUGCUAACAUGCUAUUUAGCGGCGGUGCUAAAGCAGACAUGGAACAGAGAUGUAUGGAUAACCUGUAGAUGCAUUUGCGAUGAUAAAUUCAACGAAAUAACAAAGCGGCGGUGCUAAAGCAGACAUGGCACAGAGAUGUAUGGAUAACCUGCAGAUGCAUUUGCAACGAUAAAGUCAACGAAAUCACAAAGGUGAGUUUUGUUGAUGUUGUUGACUUAUGUGCUAAUCAGACAUAUUUGGUUGCAGCGUGACUGCCAGCUAAUCGAUGCUACCAUGCUACGCUAAUCGACGCUAACAUGCUAUUUACGGACGGUGCUAAAGCAGACAUGGCACAGAGAUGUAUGGAUAACCUGCAGAUGCAUUUGCAACGAUAAAGUCAACGAAUUCCCCAAGGUGAGUUUUGUUGAUUUUGACUGCCAGCUAAUCGAUGCUAACAUGCCAUGCUAAUCGAUGCUAACAUGCUAUUUAGCGGCGGUGCUAAAGCAGACAUGGAACAGAGAUGUAUAGAUAACCUGUAGAUGCAUUUGCGAUGAUAAAUUCAACGAAAUAACAAAGGUGAGUUUUGUUGAUGUUGACUUAUGUGCUAAUCAGACAUAUUUGGUUGCAGCGUGACUGCCAGCUAAUCGAUGCUACCAUGCUACGCUAAUCGACGCUAACAUGCUAUUUAUGGACGGUGCUAAAGCAGACAUGGCACAGAGAUGUAUGGAUAACCUGCAGAUGCAUUUGCAACGAUUAAGUCAACGAAAUCACAAAGGUGAGUUUUGUUGAUGUUGUUGACUUAUGUGCUAAUCAGACAUAUUUGGUUGCGGCGUGACUGCCAGCUAAUCGAUGCUACCAUGCUACGCUAAUCGACGCUAACAUGCUAUUUACGGACGGUGCUAAAGCAGACAUGGCACAGAGAUGUAUGGAUAACCUGCAGAUGCAUUUGCAACGAUAGUCAACGAAUUCCCCAAGCGGCGGUGCUAAAGCAGACAUGGAACAGAGAUGUAUGGAUAACCUGUAGAUGCAUUUGCAAUGAUAAAUUCAACGAAAUAACAAAGGUGAGUUUUGUUGAUGUUGACUUAUGUGCUAAUCAGACAUAUUUGGUUGCGGCGUGACUGCCAGCUAAUCGAUGCUACCAUGCUACGCUAAUCGACGCUAACAUGCUAUUUACGGACGGUGCUAAAGCAGACAUGGCACAGAGAUGUAUGGAUAACCUGCAGAUGCAUUUGCAACGAUUAAGUCAACGAAAUCACAAAGGUGAGUUUUGUUGAUGUUGUUGACUUAUGUGCUAAUCAGACAUAUUUGGUUGCGGCGUGACUGCCAGCUAAUCGAUGCUACCAUGCUACGCUAAUCGACGCUAACAUGCUAUUUACCGACGGUGCUAAAGCAGACAUGGCACAGAGAUGUAUGGAUAACCUGCAGAUGCAUUUGCAACGAUAAAUUCAACGAAAUCAAAAAGGGGAGUUUUGUUGAUGUUGACUUAUGUGCUAAUCAGACAUAUUUGGUUGCGGCGUGACUGCCAGCUAAUCGAUGCUAACAUGCUACGCUAAUCGACGCUAACAUGCUAUUUACGGACGGUGCUAAAGCAGACAUGGCACAGAGAUGUAUGGAUAACCUGCAGAUGCAUUUGCAACGAUUAAGUCAACGAAAUCACAAAGGUGAGUUUUGUUGAUGUUGUUGACUUAUGUGCUAAUCAGACAUAUUUGGUUGCGGCGUGACUGCCAGCUAAUCGAUGCUACCAUGCUACGCUAAUCGACGCUAACAUGCUAUUUACCGACGGUGCUAAAGCAGACAUGGCACAGAGAUGUAUGGAUAACCUGCAGAUGCAUUUGCAACGAUAAAUUCAACGAAAUCAAAAAGGGGAGUUUUGUUGAUGUUGACUUAUGUGCUAAUCAGACAUAUUUGGUUGCGGCGUGACUGCCAGCUAAUCGAUGCUAACAUGCUACGCUAAUCGACGCUAACAUGAUAUUUACCGACGGUGCUAAAGCAGACAUGGCACAGAGAUGUAUGGAUAACCUGCAGAUGCAUUUGCAACGAUAAAUUCAACGAAAUCAAAAAGGGGAGUUUUGUUGAUGUUGACUUAUGUGCUAAUCAGACAUAUUUGGUUGCGGCGUGACUGCCAGCUAAUCGAUGCUAACAUGCUACGCUAAUCGACGCUAACAUGCUAUUUACCGACGGUGCUAAAGCAGACAUGGCACAGAGAUGUAUGGAUAACCUGCAGAUGCAUUUGCAACGAUAAAGUCAACGAAAUCACAAAGGUGAGUUUUGUUGAUGUUGUUGACUUAUGUGCUAAUCAGACAUAUUUGGUUGCGGCGUGACUGCCAGCUAAUCGAUGCUACCAUGCUACGCUAAUCGACGCUAACAUGCUAUUUACGGACGGUGCUAAAGCAGACAUGGCACAGAGAUGUAUGGAUAACCUGCAGAUGCAUUUGCAACGAUAAAGUCAACGAAUUCCCCAAGGUGAGUUUUGUUGAUUUUGACUGCCAGCUAAUCGAUGCUAACAUGCUAUGCUAAUCGAUGCUAACAUGCUAUUUACCGGCGGUGCUAAAGCAGACAUGGAACAGAGAUGUAUGGAUAACCUGUAGAUGCAUUUGCAACUAUAUUACGUUUCCUUCCACCCACAUUUAAUGCAAAACAAACACUUACCAAUCGACUGAUUUAGGUUGCUCCAGUGUCAAAAGAUGCGAAAGUCCUGAUUGUUUGGUCCGCACAUUUUACCGGCCAUGCUAUGGCUAUGAAUAGCGUCAAUAGCUAUUCACUCAAUAGCUUCAGUUUCUUCUUCAAUACUUUCAUACUCCAACCAUCUGUUUCAAUACAUGCGUAAUCUGUUGAAUCGCUUAAAUCUGAGUCUGAAUCCGAGCUAAUGUCGCUAUAUCUUGCUGUGGUAUUCCCAUUGUUUGUUUACAUUGGCAGCACUGUGUGACGUCACAGGGGAAUGGAUAGUGGCAUCGCAAAUAGUGAAAAUCAAGCACUUUAAAGCUUUUUUUAGGGAUAUUCGGGCACCGGUAAAAUUUUGAAAAAAAAAUAAAAAAAAUACAAGCCACUGGGAACUGCGUUCAAAAGACUCCGGCUUAUUAGUGAUUCCUAGAGCUCAAAAAAAGUCUGCGGGCUAUAGAGCGUUUUCCGUUCGGGCUCCAGUACUCUGGAAUGCCCUCCCGGUAACAGUUCGAGAUGCUACCUCAGUAGAAGCAUUUAAGUCUCACCUUAAAACUCAUUUGUAUACUCUAGCCUUUAAAUAGACCUCCUUUUUAGACCAGUUGAUCUGCCGCUUCUUUUCUUUCUCCUAUGUCCCCCCCUCCCUUGUGGAGGGGGUCCGGUCCGAUGACCAUGGAUGAAGUACUGACUGUCCAGAGUCAAGACCCAGGAUGGACCGCUCGUCGGGACCCAGGAUGGACCGCUCGCCUGUAUCGGUUGGGGACAUCUCUACGCUGCUGAUCCGCUUGAGAUGGUUUCCUGUGGACGGGACUCUCACUGCUGUCUUGGAGCCACUAUGGAUUGAACUUUCACAGUAUCAUGUUAGACCCGCUCGACAUCCAUUGCUUUCGGUCCCCUAGAGGGGGGGGGUUGCCCACAUCUGAGGUCCUCUCCAAGGUUUCUCAUAGUCAGCAUUGUCACUGGCGUCCCACUGAAUGUGAAUUCUCCCUGCCCACUGGGUGUGAGUUUUCCUUGCCCUUUUGUGGGUUCUUCCGAGGAUGUUGUAGUCGUAAUGAUUUGUGCAGCCCUUUGAGACAUUUGUGAUUUGGGGCUAUAUAAAUAAACAUUGAUUGAUUGAUUGAUGAACUGAUUUUUAUUGUUUUUAACACUUUUGAAAUUGUGAUAAUGUUCCCCUUUAAACUUUAAGAUUUAUUCAGGAGAAUAUUCAUGAAGACACUAAAAUGUGCCCAAAAAUUCAAUACAUGUGUUCUUCCAUCCAUUUUCUACCGCUUGUCUCUUUUUUUUGGGGGGUCGCUAUCUGAGCAGCAUUCGGGUGGAAAGUGGGGUACACCCCUGGACAAGUCGCUUCCUCAUCACAUACUCUUUUUAAAAAAAACACAGGCAUACCCCGUUACCAUGGAAACCAUCCAUCCAUCCAUCCAUCCAUUUUCUACCGCUUAUUCCCUUUCGGGGCCGCGGGGGGCGCUGGCGCCUAUCUCAGCUACAAUCGGGCGGAAGGCAGGGUACUCCCUGGACAAGUCGCUACCUCAUCACAUACUCUUUUUAAAAAAAAACACAGGCAUACCCCGUUACCAUGGAAACCAUUUAUUCAUAAAUACAAGUUGAUUUCUGCAAGAUUUUGUACAAAUUCCCACUUUGGUGGCGGAAGAGGCGGACUCAGCGCCGGAGGAAGAAGCGCAGCAGCAGCCUGAGCGUGUCCUCGUUGAGACCCAGCACUCGCCCGUCCUCCACGCCCUCGAAGAGACGCAGGCUGCCGGUCCCCCACAGGAGGUUCUUGCGGGUGUUGUUGACGUCCGUCUGAGCCGACAGGGCCAGCGUGUUGAGCUGGUAGCAGAAGAAGGAGAAGAACCUUCCGUCCGUGAUCACCGCCUGCGACACGAAGGGUCGGCUCAGGUCUUCGUGGCACCAGAAACCUGCAGGGCGGCCGAAGAAAGCAGUUUGGACUCGGCGGUCACCUUCGGAGAAGACGAGAUCGAACCUUGAUAGGACGCCUGAGCCGCCGUCCAAGCAAAGAGGCUGGCCAGGGCGUUGGCCCUCAGGAAGACUUCGAUCUGGUCCGACUGCUGCUUCCUGGCAAAGCGAUCUCGGUGGUAGCGGUCCGGGACCAGGUGGAACUGGGUGUGGCCGAAACAGGCCGGGUCCGGGAGCUUCGAACCUGACGGGCGCACACAGGAGAGCGACUUGUUGGCGCCGGAAGAUGUUGCGAGUGAGGCGGACGGCGGAGAAGCUGACCUGUGAAGAUGUGAUUGGUGUACUGGCGCUUGAACAUGGGCAUCAGGUUGGGGGCGAAGGGAACCUCUGGGACGUCCGCGCCGUACGAGUCCUCCAUCGGGACCACCUGUCAGCACAACAGGACCACCUUUUUACUUCCACUGCAUCCAGAUAUACGGUUUUAUAUUAGUCCAUAUCAGGAGAAAUAUAUUAAAUGUUAACAUUUAACUGCAAAUGUAACUUCUUCUGAUUGUAAUCAAUAUUAUGUUAGAUCCACUAUGGACUGGACUCUCACUAUUAUGUUAGAUCCACUAUGGACUGGACUCUCACUAUUAUGUUAGAUCCACUAUGGACUGAACUCUCACUAUUAUGUUAGAUCCACU